CUACGGGAGGCAGCAGUAGGGAAUUUUCCGCAAUGGGCGCAAGCCUGACGGAGCAACGCCGCGUGAGGGAUGAAGGUUUUCGGAUCGUAAACCUCUGUCUUCAGGGACGAUAAUGAUGGUACCUGAGGAGGAAGCCACGGCUAACUACGUGCCAGCAGCCGCGGUAAUA
rnacentral:rRNA from 1 species